AAACAUAAGUAACUUAUGAACAACCUUACUCGCCAGAGAACUACAAGCAAUAGCUUAAAACUCAAAGGACUUGGCGGUGCUUUAUAUCCCUCUAGAGGAGCCUGUUCUAUAAUCGAUAAACCCCGAUAAACCUCACCAUCCCUUGCUAAUUCAACCUAUAUACCGCCAUCCUCAGCGAACCCUACUAAGGAAACAAAGUAAGCACAAACAUUCGACAUAAAAACGUUAGGUCAAGGUGUAGUCUAUGAGAUGGGAAGAAAUGGGCUACAUUUUCUAACACCAGAAUAACUCUUCACGGCAACCUUCAUGAAAUAAAAGGCCAAAGGAGGAUUUAGUAGUAAGUUAAGAAUAGAGAGCUUAACUGAAUAGGGCCAUAAAGC
rnacentral:rRNA from 1 species